CGGGGGGAGCAAGCGUUGUUCGGAUUUACUGGGCGUAAAGGGCGCGUAGGCGGCACCGCAAGUCGUCUGUGAAAUCUCCGGGCUUAACUCGGAAAGGUCAGCCGAUACUGCGGGGCUAGAGUGCAGAAGGGGCAACUGGAAUUCUCGGUGUAGCGGUGAAAUGCGUAGAUAUCGAGAGGAACACCUGCGGCGAAGGCGGGUUGCUGGGCUGACACUGACGCUGAUGCGCGAAAGCUAGGGGAGCGAACGGGAUUAGAUACCCCGGUAGUCCUAGCCUUAAACGAUGAAUGCUUGGUGUCUGGGGUUUUAUAGUCCCCGGGUGCCGUCGCUAACGCUUUAAGCAUUCCGCCUGGGGAGUACGGUCGCAAGACUG
rnacentral:rRNA from 1 species